rnacentral:lncRNA from 1 species
AGAGAGAGAGAGAGAGAGAGAGAGGUGUGUUUCCAGCCUUUAAGUGCUGUUUGAGUGCAGUAUGAAGACUCUUGAGAGACUUUAUCAUCCAUGUUUUACAUCUAUAUUUUCUAUAUGCUGGAGUGCUUUGAAUAAGUUGGACUGUUGGUUUGAGCACAGUGAAAUCUAUGAUUUCUUGGCUUCCAUGUGUGUUACUUUAUGUGUGUUGAAAUCUAUGAAUUCUUAGGUAUAUUGUCGAAUUAUGUAAAUCUUUGUGUUUUGUUUUUUUUUAAUUUUCUGCAUUAUUUUUCUCUUCUUUUAAUAUUUUUCUCUUAUCCUCUGUAUAUCUUGUUAUGUUUGUAGUCUGUUACAGCAAACGAACAAUAAUUUCAAUAUUCUUAAAUGGAAUUAAGGCUCAUAUCAACGGAUAAGCUCUCUGUAUCCCCAACAAAUACUUGGACAUUGAUAUAAGAUUAAAGCCACCGACUAAAUGCUACCAUGGGAGCAUAUUGUUUGUACACUCCCUCGGGUAGAAUCGUAUUUAGAGUUAGAUUGACAAAAGACUUUCAAAUUUUUGUAUGGUCAGAUCUGUGUGUUUAGUAUUAAACUAGAUUGCAAAAUGUAAGACCGGAAAAGAUCCUCGGAAGUAGCUCUUUUGCCCAAGUACAAGUGUAUAAUGUGUGGGAGCAUCCUAUACGCGCCAAAAAAUUAAUUGAAUGCCUCAUAUUCUCUUUUACUUCUCCAAAUUGCUUGCAGGUGCCUCUUCUACUGCCCCAACAUUGCAGGGUUAGAAGAAACUCGACCACAGAUUCAUGGCUUUUCCUUAUUCUAUUUAUUAGUUUAUUAUGGGUGUGUUCCUUGAUGUAGAAAGGCUUUGCUCUGCUGGUUAUUUUUGAACUGCAGGAUCAAGAGCUGCAUCUGCAAUGUUCACAUUCAAAACCCUAGAUAUAACUGCAGCCCAGUUGUCCAAUUACCACUCUAACUUUAUAGCUGCCUGAGACUCUCACACUCUCUCUGAAACCUUAGGAGCGUGAGCUUCUCCCGAUAAAACUCAUCUAAACCCUCUCUUUCUCUCUCUCUCUCUCUCAUUCAUGAAGCUCUCUCUUGCCACUGGUUAUGAUUCUAUGGACCUAUCGAUCUAGUCUCAGUUGAAGCUCUCUCUCUCUCUCUCAUCUCAAAUGAACCUUUCUCUUUUCCAAUUCGCUAUGAUUCUCCCAUCUCUCUACUCUCAACUGAAGCUCGUUCUCUCUCUCUUACUCCCUCUCCUCCUACCUCUCACAAUUAUUAUUAUUAUUAUUUUAUAUUUUUAUUGUUUUGUUUAGAGGAUAGUUUUCUUGGUGUUUUAGAAGGUUAGAUUUCUUUAAUUAAGUAGUUGUUACGUUUUUUUUUUAAAUAACUAGGGUUAGUUAGGGUUUUGGUCAGGAGAUCUCUUUGGAAGUGAAAAUAGACUGGACUUACUUCAUUCAAAUAUAGUAAGCACGUGCGAUUUUUCGAUACUUGGACUAGGUUCGAUGUGCUUGGUCAGUCGAGUUGGAAAAACCCAAGGUACCUGGGCAUAGAGAUAAAACCAAGAAAGGUUUAGUGAAUUAGCUUUUGAUGAGGUCAAAGUAUACCCGAGUGAGAGCUGAAGGACUGUGAGACCGUUACGUAUGACGAUUAGCCUUUAGAGACAGGGCUAAAACCUUAUCUUAAUAUCAUCAUACGACAUCUAUAUAGAUAACCAUAUAGUAAUAGUGAUCUAACAUUAAGGGUGAAGCGUGUACAUGCGCGAGAGAUUACCCCUGUGCACCACAGGAUCGUGGUUACAUCAUGGUUUUGGGACCACGGUUUUGUCUCUAGGAGAGAACCUGAAAUCCACAUACUGUGAUUAUGUCACCUAGCAUAUUGGCUAACUUUUGCGGUCCAAUCAUGAGCCCCUAUAGUGGACUGUGGGCCAUGGAAAGUGCUGGAUCAGUUUGAGAAAGCUAGUGUGGAUCGUGGUCCAUAGUUGAAAGUGGAGUGCUUCAGUAGAUUGAAAAUUCCUUGACAUAUUGAUAAUUCCUAGACGUAUACAGAUCCAAUUCCCAUCAAAAUUAAUUAGUUUUAAAUAAUGUAUAUUAUAUGUAUUUUUUAGAAUACUUAUUUGAAUUUAUCUUGAUAUUUUAUUUUUGUCAUUUGAAUUUAUAAUAUAGGAUAAAAUCAAUUAUCAAUGUUUUAAAUAACACAAGAGAAAUAAAGUUCUAUUUCUAAAUAUUCUAAAAUCAAAUUAAUAUUCAAUAAACAAAUAGGGGAUCCACCAUGAGGAAUGGGACCCACCUUAAAUUAAAUACAUGGGACUUUGUGGAGACCUCCCAUGGUCACCAUGGGAGGCACGUCCCACUCAGAGGGGUGUUGCUUUCUAUUUUUAAUUUCCUUGAAGUUCAAGGCAUUGAAAUUGAGGUUUAUCUUUUGGGAAGUUUUAAAUUGAAAGAAGGUUGAAAAUUCAAGAUGAAAAGUGUAAGAGAUUUUUAUACAAGAUUAUAUAAAUAAGGAAUGAAUAUUCAUAAAAGAGAAGCCUAAUAAGUAUUUUCUUUGUUUAAGUAUUUGAUUGGAAUAGGUUUAGAAAUGGAAGAUAAGAUUCUAGCAUCCUUUCGAAAUCUUGAUAGUGGAUUUAAGAACUGGAUGACUCAAAUCUUUUAUCCUACAAGUCUCCU